AAGUCGUAACAAGGUCUCCGUAGGUGAACCUGCGGAGGGAUCAUCUAUAAAAAAAAUAUGAUGAUGAUGAUGAUGAUGAUGUUUAUUCAUCAUCAUCAUCAUUAUUCAUAUAUUAUCCAUUAUAGGAUGUUUUGGUGUUGUUAUUAUAUAAUAUUCUUAUAAUGUUGCAGGAUGGAAUUGUGUGUAUGUGUGUGUGUGUCGGUGUUUGUGUGUGUGUUGUAUGUGUGUUUGUGUUUUAAGGAGUAUUGUUACUCUUUUUAACCUUCCCCACAUACACUCUACUCUUAUUACUACCCAUCACUACACCAAUAAAAAACCAACCAGGAUCAUAAAUUCCAAACAAAGUUUAUAACUUUUGGCAACGGAUCUCUUGGUUCUC
rnacentral:misc_RNA from 1 species